GACAGAGGGUGCAAACGUUGUUCGGAAUUACUGGGCGUAAAGCGCGUGUAGGCUGCUCUGCAAGUCGGAUGUGAAAGCCCUGGGCUCAACCUAGGAAGUGCACUCGAAACUGCAGAGCUGGAGUCCUGGAGAGGAAGGCGGGAAUUCUCGGUGUAGAGGUGAAAUUCGUAGAUAUCGAGAGGAACACCGGUGGCGAAAGGCGGCCUUCUGGACAGUGACUGACGCUGAGACGCGAAAGCGUGGGGAGCAAACAGGAUUGAGAAACCCU
rnacentral:rRNA from 1 species